rnacentral:rRNA from 1 species
CCAACGGGAGGCAGCAGUGGGGGAUAUUGCACAAUGGGGGAAACCCUGAUGCAGCGACGCCGCGUGGGCGAAGAAGUAUUUCGGUAUGUAAAGCUCUAUCAGUAGGGAAGAAGAAAUGUCGGUACCUGAGUAAGAAGCACCGGCUAAAGACGUGCCAGCAGCCGCGGUAAUACGUAUGGUGCAAGCGUUAUCCGGAUUUACUGGGUGUAAAGGGAGCGCAGGCGGCACGGUAAGCCUGACGGGAAAGCCCGCGGCCCAACCGCGGGACUGCAUUGGGAACUACCGGGCUGGAGUGUCGGAGAGGUAGGCAGAAUUCCUAGUGUAGCGGUGAAAUGCGUAGAGAUUAGGAGGAACAC